GAUGAACGCUGGCGGCGUGCUUAACACAUGCAAGUCGAACGUGAGAAUAGCAAUAUUUGAAAGUGGCAAACGGGUGAGUAACACGUGGGAACCUGCCUCGAAGUGGGGGAUAACGAUUGGAAACGGUCGCUAAUACCGCACGGUUCUGCUCUGAUGGGAAUGGAGCAGAUAAAGAUUUAUCGCUUUGAGAGGGGCCCGCGGCCGAUUAGCUAGUUGGUAAGGUAAAGGCUUACCAAGGCGAUUAUCGGUAGCUGGUCUGAGAGGACGAUCAGCCACACGGGAACUGAGACACGGUCCCGACUCCUACGGGGGGCAGCAGUGAGGAAUAUUGGGCAAUGGGCGAAAGCCUGACCCAGCGACGCCGCGUGGGGGAUGACG
rnacentral:rRNA from 1 species